rnacentral:sRNA from 1 species
AUAUCUCUCCGUACGGGAAGGAUGAGAAGCUUCGACUAAGGUUCGAUUCGAGCGCAGCGAGAAAGCGUUGCCGCAGGCAACGACCCGAAGGGUGAAGCGCGCAGCG